GGCGGGGUAGCUCAGUUGGUUAGAGCAGAGGAAUCAUAAUCCUCGUGUCGGGGGUUCGAGUCCCUCUCCCGCUA
rnacentral:tRNA from 1 species